rnacentral:rRNA from 1 species
GGUUAAGCGACUAAGCGUACACGGUGGAUGCCCUGGCAGUCAGAGGCGAUGAAGGACGUGCUAAUCUGCGAUAAGCGUCGGUAAGGUGAUAUGAACCGUUAUAACCGGCGAUUUCCGAAUGGGGAAACCCAGUGUGAUUCGUCACACUAUCAUUACGUGAAUACAUAGCGUAAUGAAGCGAACCGGGGGAACUGAAACAUCUAAGUACCCCGAGGAAAAGAAAUCAACCGAGAUUCCCCCAGUAGCGGCGAGCGAACGGGGAGCAGCCCAGAGUCUGAAUCAGCUUGUGUGUUAGUGGAACGGUCUGGAAAGUCCGACGGUACAGGGUGAUAGUCCCGUACACCAAAAUGCACAGGUUGUGAACUCGAAGAGUAGGGCGGGACACGUGGUAUCCUGUCUGAAUAUGGGGGGACCAUCCUCCAAGGCUAAAUACUCCUGACUGACCGAUAGUGAACCAGUACCGUGAGGGAAAGGCGAAAAGAACCCCGGCGAGGGGAGUGAAAAAGAACCUGAAACCGUGUACGUACAAGCAGUGGGAGCACCCUUUGGGGUGUGACUGCGUACCUUUUGUAUAAUGGGUCAGCGACUUAUAUUCUGUAGCAAGGUUAACCGUAUAGGGGAGCCGAAGGGAAACCGAGUCUUAACUGGGCGUUAAGUUGCAGGGUAUAGACCCGAAACCCGGUGAUCUAGCCAUGGGCAGGUUGAAGGUUGGGUAACACUAACUGGAGGACCGAACCGACUAAUGUUGAAAAAUUAGCGGAUGACUUGUGGCUGGGGGUGAAAGGCCAAUCAAACCGGGAGAUAGCUGGUUCUCCCCGAAAGCUAUUUAGGUAGCGCCUCGUGAACUCAUCUUCGGGGGUAGAGCACUGUUUCGGCUAGGGGGUCAUCCCGACUUACCAACCCGAUGCAAACUGCGAAUACCGAAGAAUGUUAUCACGGGAGACACACGGCGGGUGCUAACGUCCGUCGUGAAGAGGGAAACAACCCAGACCGCCAGCUAAGGUCCCAAAGUCAUGGUUAAGUGGGAAACGAUGUGGGAAGGCACAGACAGCCAGGAUGUUGGCUUAGAAGCAGCCAUCAUUUAAAGAAAGCGUAAUAGCUCACUGGUCGAGUCGGCCUGCGCGGAAGAUGUAACGGGGCUAAACCAUGCACCGAAGCUGCGGCAGCGACACUAUGUGUUGUUGGGUAGGGGAGCGUUCUGUAAGCCGUUGAAGGUGUACUGUGAGGUAUGCUGGAGGUAUCAGAAGUGCGAAUGCUGACAUAAGUAACGAUAAUGCGGGUGAAAAACCCGCACGCCGGAAGACCAAGGGUUCCUGUCCAACGUUAAUCGGGGCAGGGUGAGUCGACCCCUAAGGCGAGGCCGAAAGGCGUAGUCGAUGGGAAACAGGUUAAUAUUCCUGUACUUGGUGUUACUGCGAAGGGGGGACGGAGAAGGCUAUGUUAGCCGGGCGACGGUUGUCCCGGUUUAAGCAUGUAGGCGGAGGUUCCAGGUAAAUCCGGUACCUUUUUAACGCUGAGGUGUGAUGACGAGGCACUACGGUGCUGAAGUAACAAAUGCCCUGCUUCCAGGAAAAGCCUCUAAGCAUCAGGUAACACGAAAUCGUACCCCAAACCGACACAGGUGGUCAGGUAGAGAAUACCAAGGCGCUUGAGAGAACUCGGGUGAAGGAACUAGGCAAAAUGGUGCCGUAACUUCGGGAGAAGGCACGCUGAUAUGUAGGUGAAGCGGUUUACCCGUGGAGCUGAAAUCAGUCGAAGAUACCAGCUGGCUGCAACUGUUUAUUAAAAACACAGCACUGUGCAAACACGAAAGUGGACGUAUACGGUGUGACGCCUGCCCGGUGCCGGAAGGUUAAUUGAUGGGGUUAUCCGUAAGGAGAAGCUCUUGAUCGAAGCCCCGGUAAACGGCGGCCGUAACUAUAACGGUCCUAAGGUAGCGAAAUUCCUUGUCGGGUAAGUUCCGACCUGCACGAAUGGCGUAAUGAUGGCCAGGCUGUCUCCACCCGAGACUCAGUGAAAUUGAACUCGCUGUGAAGAUGCAGUGUACCCGCGGCAAGACGGAAAGACCCCGUGAACCUUUACUAUAGCUUGACACUGAACACUGGUCCUUGAUGUGUAGGAUAGGUGGGAGGCUUUGAAGUGUGGACGCCAGUCUGCAUGGAGCCAUCCUUGAAAUACCACCCUUUAAUGGCUGGUGUUCUAACGUGGACCCGUGAUCCGGGUUGCGGACAGUGUCUGGUGGGUAGUUUGACUGGGGCGGUCUCCUCCUAAAGAGUAACGGAGGAGCACGAAGGUUAGCUAAUCCUGGUCGGACAUCAGGAGGUUAGUGCAAAGGCAUAAGCUAGCUUGACUGCGAGAGUGACGGCUCGAGCAGGUGCGAAAGCAGGUCUUAGUGAUCCGGUGGUUCUGAAUGGAAGGGCCAUCGCUCAACGGAUAAAAGGUACUCCGGGGAUAACAGGCUGAUACCGCCCAAGAGUUCAUAUCGACGGCGGUGUUUGGCACCUCGAUGUCGGCUCAUCACAUCCUGGGGCUGAAGUAGGUCCCAAGGGUAUGGCUGUUCGCCAUUUAAAGUGGUACGCGAGCUGGGUUUAGAACGUCGUGAGACAGUUCGGUCCCUAUCUGCCGUGGGCGCUGGAGAAUUGAGGGGGGCUGCUCCUAGUACGAGAGGACCGGAGUGGACGCAUCACUGGUGUUCGGGUUGUCAUGCCAAUGGCAUUGCCCGGUAGCUAAAUGCGGAAGAGAUAAGUGCUGAAAGCAUCUAAGCACGAAACUUGCCCCGAGAUGAGUUCUCCCUGAGACUUUAAGUCUCCUGAAGGAACGUUGAAGACGACGACGUUGAUAGGUCGGGUGUGUAAGCGUAGCGAUACGUUGAGCUAACCGAUACUAAUGAACCGUGAGGCUUAACCUU